UUGAAACUCACAUAAGUAGUUCCAGAGGAAUCAUACCGCUAUUAUCGUGUUAUCUGAUCAUUAGUACAAUUUACAACUAUUUCAUCUAUGCAGAAAAAGGAAGGCUUUUGCUUUUGAUCCUGUAGAGAAUGGUGUCUUUAAGUUUAUGGAUUCUUAUAUUUCUUUGCUAUCUUAUGGGUUUUCUUUGCCUGAGUCUAUGCAUGCUUCUAUGUGGUACUAUGGUUAGAAAUAGUCACAUUGUUAUUUCCAUAAGUGGUGACUAACGUCUUAGCCAGAUUAGCCGGUUCUUCUGGGAUGUGGUAUAUUUCAUGCCCUAUAUUUUAUUAUGCAACGGAUGAAUAUAAUAGAAUUGCUAACCUUCAACUGUUUGAGCCUCUAAAAUUGUAUGUUUUUGUCACCUACAUCAACUACUUAUUUGCCAGAAAAAAACUAGAUACACAAUAGAUUUGCUAUUUUCUCCACCGAAUUACUACUGCGUUUAUUGAGAUACAUGUCCCUGAAAGUUCUUAUUGAGCCUAUGCUUCUCGAGGCAUGCUAAUCUCCACUCUUGUACUGUUCUCUUGGGCACAUUAGGUGAUGGAAGCAGCCCAAGCUUCAACAGGAUUGUCAGGCACUUUCCUUGGAGGCUAUUCCAUACAGAGCAUCAAUCACAUCGCACAUCUGUCUGGCGCUCUUAUUGGUGUGCUUCUUGUAUGGCUUCUCAGUAGAGUUCCUUCUCAACCUUCCAAUCAAGAAGUAUCAACCUUGCAUACAAAAACAGACACAACUCAAUAACCAAGUUUAGCUUUGUUUGUUGAAGAGGGGGCCUUAUUUUGAGGGAUUUAGUUGCAUACUAGUCUUGCUGUCGUUCUUUUUUUUAAAGGAAUUCCUUAACUGCUCCAGUCAGAAUUCUGAAACUAGAGUGGCUUUGGGAAAAUGCCAAACUGGGGUUGCAGAGAAUCCUUUUUCUUGAGAUGAUGGAGAAAAGAUGCCAUGAUAGGCCCUAGAGGGUGGCUCCCAAGCUCUCUAUUGAGGACUUUUUAUGUAAAUGAAAGCGUGACACUGCUUGCUGUAAAGACUAAAUGUCCAUAAAUUUGGAUUUUCUUUAUUCGUACAUGUUCUGGAUCAGUUUCCAAAAGAAUACGCUCCAAACCAUAUGUUGAAGAUAAAUCUAAGUGUGAACCCAUUUUUCUUUUCUUGCUUUGUUGCCUGUUUUGAAGGAUAAAUGAGUU
rnacentral:lncRNA from 1 species